CUCGGAUUGUCAUUUCUUCUUGCCUUGCAAACAUUUGGGAACAAGUAAAAACAUAAAACUAUAUCAAGGAGAAUCCACGUUAACUUUUUGUAACUUGGCCCAUCUUUACCUACUAAAUUAUCUGAGCAUCCUGUUCGAAAUUUCUUGUAUUGUAAUUGUAUCUUCUUAAUCAUGGCUGAACAUCAUGAAGUGUUUCUGGC
rnacentral:misc_RNA from 1 species